rnacentral:rRNA from 1 species
UACGUAGGGUGCAAGCGUUGUCCGGAAUUAUUGGGCGUAAAGAGCUCGUAGGCGGUUUGUCGCGUCUGCUGUGAAAACUCGGGGCUUAACCCCGGGCCUGCAGUGGGUACGGGCAGACUAGAGUGCGGUAGGGGAGACUGGAAUUCCUGGUGUAGCGGUGAAAUGCGCAGAUAUCAGGAGGAACACCAGUGGCGAAGGCGGCUUGCCAGAACGCGCUCGACGGUGAGGGAUGAAAGCUGGGGGAGCAAACCGG